GAUGAACGCUGGCGGCGUGCCUAAUACAUGCAAGUCGAGCGAACAGACGAGGAGCUUGCUCCUCUGACGUUAGCCGAGGACGGGUGAGUCACAUGUGGAUACCCUACCUAUAAGACGGGGAUAACUUCGGGAAACCGGAGCUAAUACCGGAUAAUAUCUUGAACCGUGUGGUUCAAUAGUGAGAGACGGUUUUGCUGGCAGUUAUAGAUGGAUCCGCGCCGCAUUAGCUAGUUGGUAAGGUAAAGGCUUACCAAGGCGACGAUGCGUAACCGACCUGAGAGGGUGAUCGGCCACACUGGAAGUGAGACGCGGUCCAGACUCCUACGGGACGCCGCAGUAGCGAAUCUGCCGCAAUGGGCGAGAGCCUUACGGAGCAACGCCGCGUGAGUGAUGAAGGUCUUCGGAUCGGAAAACUCUGUUAUUGGGGAAGAACAAAUGUGUAAGUAACUAUGCACGGCUUGACGGUACCUGAUCAGAAAGCCACGGCUAACUACGUG
rnacentral:rRNA from 1 species